CAGCACCUCAAGUGGUCAGGAUGAUUGUUGGGCCUAAAGCAUCCGUAGCCUGCUUUGUUAGUUUUCGGUUAAAUCCAUAUGCUCAACGUAUGGGCCGCCGGGAAUACUGCAAAGCUAGGGAGUGGGAGAGGUAGACGGUACUCGGUAGGAAGGGGUAAAAUCCUUUGAUCUAUUGAUGACCACCUGUGGCGAAGGCGGUCUACCAGAACACGUCCGACGGUGAGGGAUGAAAGCUGGGGGAGCAAACCGGAUUAGAUACCCGAGUAGUCC
rnacentral:rRNA from 1 species